CGAGUUGGACUACGGCAAACAUGAGCUGGUCCGCAAUAAUCUCCUCCAACCGCUGAUCGAGGAAUUCAGACAGCUGCCCUUCCAGGCGAUCACUGCACAGCUGGCGGGUUUGACAAAGACUCAGUGGACGGAGGAGGCCGCCAUGUUGUUCAGGAACCACGUGGAGGGGCGAGCGCUAGUGGCCCAGGUGGAGAGUGAACAGGAGGACGUCAAAGGUGAGCUCGGGGGACGCAGGUUGACGGUGUACCUGGUGGACACCACAGUGCAGGAGAGGGACCUGUGGAUUCACAGCAUCAUGGCCGACCUUGGCGGGGAGCUGUCCUCGGCAGCUUAGGGCACCGUCUCAUGCCUCUGACUCUCAGCAAGUAUUUUUUAGAACCACAACUUUUCUGUUUCCUGGUUCUUUCUUUUCUAAAACCUGCUGAGAAUGUUCAGUGAACUUUAAAAAAAGAAAAGUCACUCCUCUGCUCUUGUUUUUUUUCCAUGUUGUUGUUUUUUUUCCUCUCCAUCACGGACUUUAAAGGCGCGAGCGGGAAAGGGCAAGAGUUAUUUUUUUUCUGCAUCGCGUGACUGAAAAAGCGGAUUAAUCUCAAAAACUUUCAAAUGAAUGAGGAAGAUGGAAAACAUUCUUUACCGUCAAAUGUUGCUCCAUCUGAACUCAGGCCUAAUAUUCAGCAACGUUUCUUUUCAGGUAUCACAUCACGUGUGUGUUGCAUGGUUUGUGUGUUGUUAAGACUCUCAUGUUAUUACGAUUUCUGUUUGCUGUGCCUCUUGUAGACGUUGGUGUGGCUGAUUUUGCACUUAGUAGUGUGUAAAUAUGUUUUAAGAUGAACCUAAAAGGCCUUACUUUAAAAACGUUGGUCAUGUACAUACCUGUUAAAACACACGUGUUGCUCGGCUGGAGAAAAAAAAGUCAAGAUUUUAUUUGGUGUGAAAAGCUGUUCAGAAGGAUUUCAGGAUUUGUUCUGUUAAAAGGAGGGUCUAAUUUGAAAGCAUUACAUUGGUUUGUUUAUGUUCUGGCAGUGUGGGCUGCUAUUUGUCAAAUGUCAAGCGCCACACUGUCACGAUGAUGUAACUGAAGCAGAUGUGAUAAAAAAUGAUGUUUA